GCUUUUAUUUCAUUCUAAUUACUUCUUACACAGAAGAACCUAGGAACAUCGGGAUAUAGGAAGCUGGCUUAUACUGAGUCAGACCAUGAGUCCAUCUAGCUCAAUAUUGUUGACACAGACUGACAGUGAUUUUUCUAAGAAUGUAGGCAUGAGUCUCUCUGAGCCCUGUCUUGGGGAAGCCAGAGAGGGAACUUGGAACCUUGUGUUCUUCCCAGAGUGGCCCCAUUCCCAAAAAGGAAUAUCUUACAGUGCUCACACAUGUAGUCUCUCAUUCAAAUACAAACCAGAGCAGAACCUGCUUCUCAAAGGAGACAAUUCAUUUUGGCUACCACAAGACCAGCUCUUAUUUAUUCACUGAUUUAUAACAUACCCAUUUCAGAUGCAGGCAGUUUAUUUUAAACACCGAAGGAUGACUGAUUGCAGGGCUGAAAAAAAAAUUUGUAACGUUAUGACCUUAUAUCUGUAUCCCUGAGCUUUUACAAUUCUUACUCCUGUCUGCAGUGGCAUCUUUAAGAUGUGAAGUGUGUGAGAAGCCAGGGAAAAUCCUAUCUUGCGAAUCAUACAUCAAGGAGUGUGAACCUGAUGAAGAUACUUGCAAAAUUGAAUUAACACGUUAUAGUAAAAAAUUGUUCUAUAAAAAGGCAUGUGUUAAAUCUGAGGAUUGUCGUGAUACGCGGUCUUCAGGAUUUCCUUUGGGAGUUUAUUGCUGUCAUACUGAUCUGUGCAAUAAACCAAAGAUCCCAGGGCCAUUUGCAUUCAUUGGCACUAAAGGAAGGUCCCAGUCCGCUGAUGGGAAUCAAAGCUUGUAAAUUCCUGGCUUCAUUACAUCAGGUGGAAUUACCCAUUUGCAGACUGCUUUCCAAAGCUGAGCAAUAUUUGGGUUCUCUGCCCUCUCCACGGGAAACAUCAGUGGAGAAGCAAGGGACUGCUUGAUAAGAAUUUGUGUGUAGAAUUAUGCUAGCUUUGUAAUAGUAGUGAUAUAUAAUGUACUUGGCUAACUUGCAAGUAAUAAAGAUGCAGGAAUAUAUUAACAAUAAGCAAUGCAUUAAUGUUUAACCUAGAAAUAACUAGCUGAACUGCAAGCUCUUAAUCUAAAGAUAAGAAGCAAUGUAUCAAUUGUACUAGCUCACUUCUGUAACCCAAUGAGCCAUGUGAUCUUGAGAAAUUGGAAUGCUUAGGUAGUACUUACGAACGGUAUGUAUGGAGGAACGCAUGAGUGAGCAACAUGAAGAGCGCCCCUAGUCCCCACUCCCUCUCUAACACAGACAAUGUUUGGAAAGACGCCAAGGCCUGAAGAGAACCAGGGAGGACUGCCAGUGACGUUGCAAGGGAAGAAAUAGCUGAAGGAGACAGGAUGGAUACGUCUUGUAAUCACAGAGAUGAAAGUGGACUGCAAAUGUACCAACCGGAACUGGACUGGAAACUUCCCUUUAUAAGUCAGGCAGGAAACCAGAAGACCCCUGAGAAGCACCAACAUCCCAAGCGAGGCCUAUACGCUUCUUCCAACACCGCUUUCAAAGAAUGAUCACCUUUGGAGUGGGGCUAGGUGAGUAUGUGUGUGUGUGUAUGUGUGUGUGUAUGAGUUAGAAGUUAGCUUGCUGUUUUAUUGGCUAUAAUAAAC